rnacentral:rRNA from 1 species
UACGGGGGGAGCAAGCGUUGUUCGGAUUUACUGGGCGUAAAGGGCGCGUAGGCGGCCACUGCAAGUCGGUUGUGAAAUCUCCGGGCUUAACCCGGAAAGGUCAACCGAUACUGCAGGGCUAGAGUGCGGAAGGGGCAACUGGAAUUCUCGGUGUAGCGGUGAAAUGCGUAGAUAUCGAGAGGAACACCUGCGGCGAAGGCGGGUUGCUGGGCCGACACUGACGCUGAAGCGCGAAAGCCAGGGGAGCGAACGGG